AAAGACCUAACGUGGCCUUAAUGUCUAAAAGAGACCGAGUUCGGCCCUACACGAUCUGUGUCUCUGAGACGUCUGGAUGGCCGCGAGUGUAUAGAUCUCUGUGUGUGUGUGUGUCCUAUGUGUGUAAUGGCGCGGUGGUGGAGUUAGUCUCCAGAUGUACGUCUACACGGGAAUAUGUGUGUGUCGGUUAGUAAAAGGGG